UACAGAGGUCUCAAGCGUUGUUCGGAUUCAUUGGGCGUAAAGGGUGUGUAGGUGGCGCGCUAAGUCGGGUGUGAAAUUUCGGAGCCUAACUCCGAAACUGCAUUCGAUACUGGCGUGCUUGAGGACUGGAGAGGAGACUGGAAUUCAUGGUGUAGCAGUGAAAUGCGUAGAGAUCAUGAGGAAGACCAGUGGCGAAGGCGGGUCUCUGGACAGUUCCUGACACUGAGACACGAAGGCCAGGGGAGCAAACGGG
rnacentral:rRNA from 1 species